rnacentral:misc_RNA from 1 species
GAUGAAGAACGUAGUGAAAUGCGAUACGUAAUGUGAAUUGCAGAAUUCAGUGAAUCAUCGAAUCUUUGAACGCUCAUUGCGCCCGCCAGCACUCUGGCAGGCAUGCCUGUUCGAGCGUCAUUUCAACCAUCAAGCCCUAGGCUUGCGUUGGAGCCCUGCGGCUGCCGCAGGCCCCUAAAAGCAGUGGCGGGCUCGCUAUCACACCGAGUGCAGUAGAUUACUCUUCGCUCAGGGCGUGUGGCGGGUUCCAGCCGUGAAACCCCCUACUUCUCAAGGUUGACCUCGGAUCAGGUAGGAAUACCCGCUGAACUUAAGCAUAUCAAUAAGCGGAGGA